UAAAUAAGCUGCGUUCUACGGUUAAAUCAGACAAAGUUUUUUACCCAUCAUCACUCCAAAGAAGAUCUUUCAGCUUUUUAUUCCACACCACCAUGUUCGCUCUUUUGCUCAUUUCUACCCUUCUGUUAACCAACUGCUUAGCAGUACCCUAUAACGCAGCAGAGAUGUCAGAAGGUGGUCUAGAGUCUGCAGCCUACAACACGGAAGAUUUGGAUGUAGCCGAGUCCGAUAUUGUUAGCGAACACAACGCUGAAGAAGGUGCCAUCUGGCGUUAGGAGAGUCCCGGGAACUAUACCAUGCUCUGUCACCAUGGCAACUAGCUGCAGUAGACGGUAUGUCAUCUGAUCGUCACGACAACGAGACAGAGCCGGUCGAGCUGCUUACAACAGAGUAGAAGUAGGACUGGGAGGAACUUUAAGUUUAGGAGUACAUGCUGCAAGUACUGGCUCGGUCAACUUGAGAACUCUGCUUUUUUAGCUUAAACUUGCUCUAUUGAGUUUGGGCACAGUUCGUUUGAUUUAAAAUAGUAUUAUGAAAAUCAAUUGAAA